rnacentral:rRNA from 1 species
CCCAGGAGUCUAACAUGUACGCGAGUCAUUGGGAAUAAAAAACCUAAAGGCGUAAUGAAAGUAAAGGCGACCUUGUGUCGACUGAGGGAGGAUGGGCUACGUUACGAUGUAGCCUCGCACUCCCGGGGCGUCUCGUACUCAUUGCGAGUUGAGGCGCACCUAGAGCGUACACGUUGGGACCCGAAAGAUGGUGAACUAUGCCUGGUCAGGACGAAGUCAGGGGAAACCCUGAUGGAGGUCCGUAGCGAUUCUGACGUGCAAAUCGAUCGUCGGAACUGGGUAUAGGGGCGAAAGACUAAUCGAACCAUCUAGUAGCUGGUUCCCUCCGAAGUUUCCCUCAGGAUAGCUGGCACUCAUAUGAAACGAGUCUCAUCUGGUAAAGCGAAUGAUUAGAGGCCUUGGGGCCGAAACGACCUCAACCUAUUCUCAAACUUUAAAUGGGUGAGAUCUCUGGCUUGCUUAAAUAGUGAAGCCAUGAGAUUUCGGAUCAGAGUGCCAAGUGGGCCAAUUUU